rnacentral:rRNA from 1 species
AAGCUCCUACGGGGGGCAGCAGUAGGGAAUCUUCCACAAUGGGCGCAAGCCUGAUGGAGCAACACCGCGUGAGUGAAGAAGGGUUUCGGCUCGUAAAGCUCUGUUGUUGGAGAAGAACGUGCGUGAGAGUAACUGUUCACGCAGUGACGGUAUCCAACCAGAAAGUCACGGCUAACUACGUGCCAGCAGCCGCGGUAAUACGUAGGUGGCAAGCGUUAUCCGGAUUUAUUGGGCGUAAAACGCGCGCAGGCGGGUGCUUGGGGCUGAUGUGAAAGCCUUCGGCUUAAACCAA